rnacentral:rRNA from 1 species
ACGAAGGUGUGGCGGCGAACAGCCGUCCACACUGACGGUACCUCCAGAAGAAGCCCCGGCUAACUACGUGCCAGCAGCCGCGGUAAUACGUAGGGGGCUAGCGUUGUCCGGAAUCAUUGGGCGUAAAGCGCGCGUAGGCGGCCCGGUCAGUCCGCUGUAAAAGUCAAAGGCUCAACCUUUGAAUGCCGGUGGAUACUGCCGGGCUAGAGUCCGGAAGAGGCGAGUGGAAUUCCUGGUGUAGCGGUGGAAUGCGCAGAUAUCAGGAGGAACACCGAUAGCGAAGGCAGCUCGCUGGGACGGUACUGACGCUGAGGCGCGAAAGCGUGGGGAGCGAACAGGAUUAGAUACCCUGGUAGUCCACGCCGUAAACGAUGGGCACUAGGUGUGGGAGGUGUCGACUCCUCCCGUGCCGACGCUAACGCAAUAAGUGCCCCGCCUGGGGAGUACGGCCGCAAGGCUAAAACUCAAAGGAAUUGACGGGGGCCCGCACAAGCAGCGGAGCAUGUGGUUUAAUUCGACGCAACGCGAAGAACCUUACCUGGGCUUGACAUGUAGGUGACAGCCGUGGAAACACGGUCUUCCUUCGGGACACCUUCACAGGUGGUGCAUGGCUGUCGUCA